CUGGACAUGACUGGAGCAAGUAUCAAUAAAUCAGAAGCAAGUCAAUAGAAAUUAUACAAACUCACAAAUAAGCAGAAAAAAGAAAAUAAAAAAACAAAGCAACCAACUACAAGAAGAGUGUUUAAGAUCCAUCAGACAAUGUCAAACAGUUCACCAGAUGAACAGCUAGUGUCUCAGAAAUAGAGAGGAGAGAAGAGAUACUUGAAGAAAUAAUGGCUGAAAGUUUCCAAAAUUGAUGAAGAACAUCAGCUACAUACUAGAAACUCAGACAAUAUAAUGAAGGAAAAAUAGCACAUGAUUGUCAAACUUCUGAAAACCGAAGAUAGAGACAAAAUAUAAAAAGCCAUUGAUACGUGCAUUUUUAAUAUUACAUUUGGAAAAAUGAGGGCUGACUUCUCAUCAGGAACAAUGGAAGCAGAAGACAAAGAUAUAACUUCUGUAAAAUAUUGAAAUUAAAAAAACCCCUGAAAACCAAGGAUUUUAUAUCUGGUAAAAUGUUCUCUAAAAAUUAAGAGAAAAGAUGUUUUUUAAAAAGACGAAAUAGGAGGCAAUUUGUGGCUAUCUGAAUUGUGCUACCCAAAAUGGCAAAGAAAGUUCUUUGGGCUGAAUAUAAAGGAUCCUAGAUGUAAGGUCAGAUUCACAAAUAAAAAAUGAGAGCACUGAAAAUUUCAACAUGUGAAUAAAUAGAAAAGAGUAUUUAUU
rnacentral:lncRNA from 1 species